rfam:Ictidomys tridecemlineatus contig000070, whole genome shotgun sequence.
UGGGAUGUAGCUUAGUGGUAGAGCUCCUGCCUGAUAGGCAUUAGACCCUGUGAUCAAACUCCAGCACCACAA